AACGAACGCUGGCGGCAGGCCUAACACAUGCAAGUCGAACGCCCCGCAAGGGGAGUGGCAGACGGGUGAGUAACACGUGGGAACAUACCCUUCGGUUCGGAAUAACUCAGGGAAACUUGAGCUAAGACCGGAUACGUCCGCGAGGAGAAAGAUUCAUCGCCGGAGGAUUGGCCCGCGUCCGAUUAGCUAGUUGGUGAGGUAACGGCUCACCAAGGCGACGAUCGGUAGCUGGUCUGAGAGGAUGAUCAGCCACAUUGGGACUGAGACACGGCCCAAACUCCUACGGGAGGCAGCAGUGGGGAAUAUUGGACAAUGGGCGAAAGCCUGAUCCAGCCAUGCCGCGUGAGUGAUGAAGGCCCUAGGGUUGUAAAGCUCUUUCGUCAGGGACGAUAAUGACGGUACCUGAAGAAGAAGCCCCCGGCUAACUUCGUGCCAGCCGCCGCGGUAAC
rnacentral:rRNA from 1 species